rnacentral:rRNA from 1 species
UGAGGAACCUGCCCCGAAGACCGGGAUAACACCGGGAAACCGGUGCUAAUACCGGAUGCCCUCACCGGAUCGCAUGGUCUGGUGAGGAAAUGGAUUCCGCUUCGGGAUGGUCUCGCGGCCUAUCAGCUUGUUGGUGGGGUAAUGGCCUACCAAGGCAACGACGGGUAGCUGGUCUGAGAGGAUGUCCAGCCACACUGGGACUGAGACACGGCCCAGACUCCUACGGGAGCAGCAGGU